GGUUUGUGUAGUGAGGACAGCGUACGGUGUCCUGACGGUACGUGUCUAUCUGGUGAGGAGUGGUGUGAUGGCAAAUUUCACUGUUCUGAUGGCAGCGAUGAACCCAUAACCUGUGGCCGUCUUUGCUCCAUAAACAAUGGUGGAUGUAGUCAUGUGUGCACUGAUGAACCCUGGGGAGCUCUGUGUUCCUGUCCUGCUGGAUAUAAGCUGUCUCCUGAUGGAUCAGACUGUGAAGAUUUGGAUGAAUGUGCUCCACCUUUUGCCCCCUGUGCUCAUCAAUGCACUAACACCAUUGGGUCCUAUUAUUGCCACUGCAGAGAGGGAUUCAAACUAAAUGAGAACUCCGCG